rnacentral:rRNA from 1 species
AUUGAACGCUGGCGGCAUGCUUUACACAUGCAAGUCGAACGGUAACAGGCCGCAAGGUGCUGACGAGUGGCGAACGGGUGAGUAAUGCAUCGGAACGUGCCCAGUCGUGGGGGAUAACUGCUCGAAAGAGCAGCUAAUACCGCAUACGAUCUAUGGAUGAAAGCGGGGGACCGUAAGGCCUCGCGCGAUUGGAGCGGCCGAUGUCAGAUUAGGUAGUUGGUGGGGUAUAGGCUCACCAAGCCAACGAUCUGUAGCUGGUCUGAGAGGACGACCAGCCACACGGGGACUGAGACACGGCCCAGACUCCUACGGGAGGCAGCAGUGGGGAAUUUUGGACGAUGGGGGCAACCCUGAUCCAGCAAUACCGCGUGCAGGAAGAAGGCCUUCGGGUUGUAAACUGCUUUUGUACGGAACGAAACGGUCUGGGUUAAUACCCUGGGCUAAUGACGGUACCGUAAGAAUAAGCACCGGCUAACUACGUGCCAGCCGCCGCCGUAAUAC